rnacentral:rRNA from 1 species
UACGGAGGGUGCAAGCGUUAUCCGGAUUCACUGGGUUUAAAGGGUGCGUAGGUGGGCUUAUAAGUCAGUGGUGAAAUCCCCGAGCUUAACUCGGGAACUGCCAUUGAUACUGUAGGUCUUGAAUACUCUGGAGGUAAGCGGAAUAUGUCAUGUAGCGGUGAAAUGCAUAGAUAUGACAUAGAACACCAAUUGCGAAGGCAGCUUACUACAGGGAGAUUGACACUGAUGCACGAAAGCGUGGGGAUCAAACAGG